rnacentral:lncRNA from 1 species
CGCGGAUCCAGAAAUUUUCAUAAGUGGGGCCCACUGAUAGCUUAAGAGGGGCUUCACAUGCUUCAUUGAUUCCCUAAAUUCAACAUUAUUUUCCCAACAAAAUGGGAGGCACCCCCAUGCCUCCUAAAUCUGUCUCUGUUUUCAUCUAGUAUCUUCAGUAUAGAAUAACACUACAAGCAAUUGUAAGUGUUGAUAUGAGUCUGAAAUUAAGCAGCU